GGUUUGAUGGCGUAGUUGGUCAUCGCAUCUAUCUAACAUUUGAAUAUAAGUUGCACAGAAGGUCCCCAGUUCGAGCCUGGGCCGAAUCA